rnacentral:lncRNA from 1 species
UUGCCAGCCACUCGGGGUAACUCACCUCCCUUAUGAAUCCUGCCUCCAAGAGUUUGUCUACCUCCUGGUCGACCACCCGGAUCCGAUCCGGGGCACAGUGUCUCUUCUUCUGCUUCACUGGCCGGUGGGUCGGGUCGACGUUGAGGGCGUGAGAGAUGACCUCCGGGUCGAUCCCAGGUACAUCGGCCGCCGACCAGGCAAAUACAUCGG